rnacentral:rRNA from 1 species
UACGAAGGGUGCAAGCGUUGUUCGGAAUUACUGGGCGUAAAGGGCUCGUAGGCGGCCAACUAAGUCGGACGUGAAAUCCCUCGGCUUAACCGGGGAACUGCGUCCGAUACUGGAUGGCUUGAGUUCGGGAGAGGGAUGCGGAAUUCCAGGUGUAGCGGUGAAAUGCGUAGAUAUCUGGAGGAACACCGGUGGCGAAGGCGGCAUCCUGGACCGAUACUGACGCUGAUGAGCGAAAGCCAGGGGAGCAAACGGG